ACUGGGUGCGGUUGCGCACACCUGUAAUCCAAGUGAUUUAGGAGGUUGAGGCAGGAGGAUCACAAGUAUGAGGUCAGCCUCUGCAACAGAGAAAGACCCUCAGCAAUUUAGGGAGAUUUUGUCUCAA
rnacentral:sRNA from 1 species